UAUAUUCCACCUCCUAGGAAACAAAAAUUCCACAGAUUUUAUGCCCUGUGGGGUGGGCCAGUUCAGUCACUUGGACAAAUGAAGGAAGAGGAUUUACACGUUGUUCUUGAUGAACCAGAGCUGAAGGAUGCUUCCACAGAUUGUCUUCACAAUGAGACCCUGUCAUUCUGAUAAAGGAGUAGUGAGUCCAUCAGAGUCUCCUCCAGAAAGCAGAAAUCCUGGUUCAAGCAGUCCUGGGACUCAGACCUGGAAUAAUUUGUUUAGUGAUGGGAGGGGACAAAGUGGGGUUUGGUCUCCACCCUAUUGCUGGUCUCCUGUGGGGACACUUAGGGGGGUGAUUUAGUAAUAAGAGGACCUGUAUUUACCCUUUUUAUAACCUUUUCUGGGGCAGAGAUUAAAGGAUGACAAUGAAAUCUUCUCACAACCUUUCAAUCCCAUUAAACUUCACCCAGGGGAAAUACCAUAAGACCUUAAACAAAGGAACAAGUCCCUCCCUAAAUAGAUUAGAGGACAUACAUCAAGCAAGCAAGAUCUCUAAACAAAGGAAUCCUAAGCAGGGUUAUUUCUUCUCCUUCAAUGCAAGCAAAGCAGGUAUUUUAAAAGGAAGGAUGCAGUGACCCUUGGCCAACUUGCUUCAGAGAAAUGGCUAUAGUCUCAGUGCACUGCUUUAAUAAUAGUAAUAAGGAUAAAUCACUACAUGACUAAAGUCAUAUACCAAAAAGCAUUUCCUGACAUCUCAUAGAGAAACACACUAGGAGGACACUGAGAUCAGUAAACAUUAGGAGCUGGGCUAGGAAGACCCAUCAUCCUUUGGACAUUUUGUUAGCAUAACUUAAUUAGUACCCACAAUCCUCUGAGGCUGAGGGAUGUUCAGGUUGCAUAUACAUGCCCAAGCAAAACAAAGGCCAUAGCCCUCAAAAUCGAUUGAUCUUCACCCCUUCUCCAUAAAUUUUUGCCAGGAUGAACUUAAACUGAUUAGGCACAGAACCCAUUGUUGAGAGUGAGGCAGCAGCUUCGGGUGAAAGAAGGAUUCUGGGAAUUCCUUGGGUGGUAACACUCAGACUCCGAAGACUAAACCUGUUCAAGACGGCACAAUCGGCAGAGGCCCAGGCAUCCGGCACUUGACUGCUGUACAGUAGAUGGGCCCGGUGACUAAUUUCAUCCAAAAGUAGAAUCACAGGGAAUCUCAGAACUGCUCUGAUACUGUGCUCAUGGUCCUGGAGUAAGAAGUAAAAGCCAGCCAAGUGGGAAAUCUAAAAACUACAAAAAAAAUUC